rnacentral:rRNA from 1 species
GAUGAACGCUAGCUACAGGCUUAACACAUGCAAGUCGAGGGGCAGCAUGAUUGAAGCUUGCUUCCAUCGAUGGCGACCGGCGCACGGGUGAGUAACACGUAUCCAACCUGCCGAUAACUCGGGGAUAGCCUUUCGAAAGAAAGAUUAAUACCCGAUAGUAUAGUAUUUCCGCAUGGUUUCACUAUUAAAGAACUUCGGUUAUCGAUGGGGAUGCGUUCCAUUAGAUAGUUGGCGGGGUAACGGCCCACCAAGUCAACGAUGGAUAGGGGUUCUGAGAGGAAGGUCCCCCACAUUGGAACUGAGACACGGUCCAAACUCCUACGGGAGGCAGCAGUGAGGAAUAUUGGUCAAUGGACGAGAGUCUGAACCAGCCAAGUAGCGUGAAGGAUGACUGCCCUAUGGGUUGUAAACUUCUUUUAUACGGGAAUAAAGUGGAGUAUGCAUACUCCUUUGUAUGUACCGUAUGAAUAAGGAUCGGCUAACUCCGUG